rnacentral:rRNA from 1 species
UUAACAACGCUGGCGGCGUGCCUAACACAUGCAAGUCGAACGAGAAAGUGGAGCAAUCCAUGAGUACAGUGGCGUACGGGUGAGUAACACGUGACUAACCUACCCUCGAGUGGGGAAUAACUUCGGGAAACCGAGGCUAAUACCGCAUAACAUCUACGGAUCAAAUGCGCAAGCAGCUUGAGGAGGGGGUCGCGGCUGAUUAGCUAGUUGGCGGGGUAACGGCCCACCAAGGCAAUGAUCAGUAGCCGGCCUGAGAGGGCGCACGGCCACACUGGAACUGAAACACGGUCCAGACUCCUACGGGAGGCAGCAGUGGGGAAUUUUGCGCAAUGGGGGAAACCCUGACGCAGCAACGCCGCGUGGAGGAUGAAGCCCCUUGGGGUGUAAACUCCUUUCGAUCGGGACGAUUAUGACGGUACCGGAUGAAGAAGCACCGGCUAACUCUGUGCCAGCAGCCGCGGUAAUACAGAGGGUGCAAGCGUUGUUCGGAAUUAUUGGGCGUAAAGGGUGCGUA